rnacentral:rRNA from 1 species
GCACAAGCGGUGGAGCAUGUGGUUUAAUUCGAAGCAACGCGAAGAACCUUACCAGGUCUUGACAUCCCGCUGACCGGCCUAGAGAUAGGCUUUUCCCUUCGGGGACAGCGGUGACAGGUGGUGCAUGGUUGUCGUCAGCUCGUGUCGUGAGAUGUUGGGUUAAGUCCCGCAACGAGCGCAACCCUUGAUCUUAGUUGCCAGCAUUCAGUUGGGCACUCUAAGGUGACUGCCGGUGAUAAGCCGGAGGAAGGUGGGGAUGACGUCAAAUCAUCAUGCCCCUUAUGACCUGGGCUACACACGUGCUACAAUGGACGGUACAGAGGGUCGCAACUCCGCGAGGGUGAGCAAAUCCCAUAAAACCGUUCUCAGUUCGGAUUGUAGGCUGCAACUCGCCUACAUGAAGCCGGAAUCGCUAGUAAUCGUGGAUCAGCAUGCCACGGUGAAUACGUUCCCGGG